GUGGGGAAUAUUGGACAAUGGGCGAAAGCCUGAUCCAGCCAUGCCGCGUGUGUGAAGAAGGUCUUCGGAUUGUAAAGCACUUUAAGUUGGGAGGAAGGGUAGUAGCCUAAUACGUUGCUACUUUGACGUUACCGACAGAAUAAGCACCGGCUAACUUCGUGCCAGCAGCCGCGGUAAUACGAAGGGUGCAAGCGUUAAUCGGAAUUACUGGGCGUAAAGCGCGCGUAGGUGGUUCAGUAAGUUGGAAGUGAAAUCCCCGGGCUCAACCUGGGAACUGCUUUCAAAACUGCUGAGCUAGAGUACGGUAGAGGGUGGUGGAAUUUCCUGUGUAGCGGUGAAAUGCGUAGAUAUAGGAAGGAACACCAGUGGCGAAGGCGACCACCUGGACUGAUACUGACACUGAGGUGCGAAAGCGUGGGGAGCAAACAGGAUUAGAUACCCCUGUAGUCC
rnacentral:rRNA from 1 species